GGAAGAAGGAAGGCCAGUGUGGAGUGGGAGCAGGCUGGCUCUGCAUUUUCACCUUCCGGGAGCCUCGCGGUCUGGAGCCUGGCCGGUCCUUGUGCGCGGGAAGCCUUCUCCCGCAGGUGCCGAGAAGAGAAAAGCCCACAACACUGGCGAGCCCUGGGUAGCGCUCUUUCCUGAAGCUUCUGGCGAGUGUCUCCCGUGGCUGCUCUCUGAGGGAGGUGGCCCUGGCUAAGGUGGCCCCUAACCCCUCCGUCACCCCGUAACGGUCGCUGUGACCUGCCUCCGGUGCGUGGACGCAUGUGGUUUGCUGGUUCGUUACCGGUUCGCGCUGGAAGGCGCGUCCAGGGGUGCAGGGGCAGGACCGUCACCGCGUCCCCCGCCGAUGUCCCAGGCACCGUAGCUGCGCCGCUGGCAUCGUGUGAGUUCCCUAGGACUGCUCUAAGGAGUUACCACGCGCUUUCUCUGCAGCCUUAACGACAGAAGUGUGUUAUCUCACCGAUCUGGAGGUCAGAAGUGCCAGCAUGGGCCUCACUGGGCUAAAAUCAAGGCAUCCACAGGGCUGCGCUCCUGGGAAUUCAAGGUAACCCAGGAUGGCCUCGUCUCCAGAUCCUUGAUUUAACGACUCCCAUCUGUAAAGUCCCUUUCACCGGGUAAGGCCACAUAAUCGCAGGUUCCAGGGCUUGGGACAGGGACACCUUUGAGGAGCCAUUAUUCAGCCCAUCACAAUACUCUAAAAUGCUGUUGUUAUUAUCAGCCCACUUGACGGAUGCAAAAACAAAGGCACAGAGAAGGAAAGUCACGUGCCCGGGCUCACCCAAUAAACUCCUCCACCUGGCUCCAGAGCUGCUGACGUCUUUCCUGGGUCAGAAAUAUCCCCCCCCCGCCCCCAAGAGGCUGGAGCUCCAAGACGGUGCCGAACAUCGGGGCACAAAAUGGCGCAGCCCCUUUGGGAAGCUGGAUGUGUCUCAUCAGGCUAAACAUUCACCUAAUAUCUGAUCCACUCCUAGAGAUCCACCCGAGACAAGGGACCAUUUAAGUUCGUAAAAAGAUCUGUCCAGAGUAUUUGCGGCAGCUUAGUUCAUAGUAAUUGACACCGGCGGCAGCACGGACACCUGUCAGCAGGUGGAUGGACGCAUUGUGGUCCCGCGACUCGAUGGGAGAGGAGACAGAGACGAAGAGGCACAGACUGGAUGAACACAACGUCGUGGGUGAAUCUCAGAAACAGCAUGCCUAGAGAAAGAAGCCAGGCACAGAAGACUGCAUACCGCGUGCUUCGACGCAGAUGACAUCCUGAAAAAACAAGUCUAGUGGACCGUGAUGGCCAGCAGAGCGGCAGCGGCCCGGGGCAGGGGGUCGGGAGGAAGGUCAGGGGAUGAUGGAAAUGUUCCGUGUCUGCAAGGGAGAGGCGAGCAUGCGGCUGUGUGCGUUUCUGGAACCUCACUGAGUUGUAGGCUUUCACAGUUUUGAAAUUAUGAUCAUGGUAUAAAUGUGUAUAACAUAAAAUAUACAUCCUA